rnacentral:lncRNA from 1 species
AGAGAUGGCUCGAUUAACAUUAAUAUCGAUGUUAGUUCUCUUGGCAGGAUCAAUGCUUAUGGUUCAGGGCGGAGAUCCCACCCUUUUUUUCGAAUGGAACGUCACCUAUGGAACCAUUGCUCCCUUGGGAGUGCCAGUAAGGGGUAUUCUUAUUAACGGGCAAUUCCCGGGACCAAAUCUUAACUCUACCACCAACAACAAUAUCGUGGUCAAUGUGUUCAAUAACCUUGAUGAGCCAUUCCUUGUAACAUGGUAAGCGACUACCAAGAGUAGUUUCUUUUUUACAUUAAUAUGAUUAUGCUAGUGAAGAGUCGAGCUAAUUAUCUGUGGAAAUGGGAUUUGUUGCAGGGACGGCGUGCAACAUAGGAAGAACUCUUGGCAAGAUGGUGUUCUGGGAACCAACUGUCCUAUCCCCCCUGGGAAGAAUUACACCUAUAAAUUCCAGGUGAAGGAUCAGAUUGGCAGCUACAUGUACUAUCCGGUGACGGCUAUGCAUAAGGCGGUUGGUGGUUUCGGUGGCCUCCAUGUUAACAGCCGUCUACUCAUCCCUGUUCCCUACGCCGACCCGGCUGAUGACUAUACUCUCUUAGUGGGAGACUUUUUCAACAAGGGACACACCGGCCUCAAGAAGAUUCUUGAUAGCGGUCGCAACCUUGGGAGAUGUGACGGUGUCCACCUUAAUGGGAAAGUUGCGAAAGGUGAUGGGAAGGAUGAACCUCUGUUUACGAUGGAGGCAGGCAAAACGUACAAGUACAGGAUUUGCAAUACGGGUAUCAAGACAUCUCUGAACGUCAGGUUCCAGGGCCACACCAUGAAAUUGGUUGAGAUGGAGGGUUCCCACACAAUGCAGAAUGACUAUGACUCCCUUGAUGUGCAUGUUGGACAGUGCUUCAGUGUGCUUGUUACUGCCAACCAGGAACCAAGGGAUUACUAUGUGGUGGCCUCUACCCGUUUUACCAGACGUGAGGUUACAGCAACCGGCAUCAUCCGUUACAAGAAUGGCAAGGGAGCUGCCUCAUCCGAGUUGCCACCGCCACCUGUUGGUUGGGCUUGGUCACUCAAUCAAUUCCGUACCUUCCGUUGGAACUUGACUUCUAACGCUGCUAGGCCUAACCCUCAGGGCUCCUACAAAUAUGGUUCCAUUAACAUUACCCGCACCAUCAAGCUUGCCAACACUGCACAAAGAGUAGAUGGCAAGCUCCGAUAUGCUCUUAAUGGAGCCUCCUAUGUCGAACCAACCACUCCACUAAAACUUGCAGAAUACUACGGCGUAGCCGACAAGGUUUUCAAGUAUGAUACCAUUCCCGAUGUGCCACCAAGUGACAACACUAAGGUAACUUUGGCACCUAUUGUCCUCAACAUGACACACAGAAACUUUGUGGAAAUCAUCUUCGAGAAUCACGAGACCGCCAUUCAGUCUUACCACUUGUCUGGCUACUCAUUCUUUGCCGUGGGGUAAGUAUAGCUUCUAACGUAACAAAUACAUGUGGUGAUUUUAUUGCCUGAGUUGAAGUAAUAAGUUGUAUAAUGAUUUGUUGCAGCAUGGACAUUGGGAAAUGGAGCCCUGAGAAGAGGAUGAACUACAAUCUUCUCGACGCCGUGAGCAGACACACCAUACAGGUAUUCCCCAACUCCUGGUCAGCAAUCCUAUUGACAUUCGACAACUGCGGGAUGUGGAACCUGAGGUCGGAGAUAUGGGACAGGCAUUACCUUGGGCAACAGCUUUAUGCUAGUGUUAUUUCCCCUAACCGAUCCCUCAAGGAUGAGUACAACUUGCCGGAAGGUGUAUUGACUUGCGGCAUCGUGCAAGGCAUGCCAAGGCCUCCACCUUUCAGCAGUUAAUUUAAAUAAGCUUAUAAAUCUGUAACCAAUUCUGGUGUAUGGGGAGAGAGAGGGUGAGAAAAGCUUGAGUUCCAAAUGUAUUUAAUGAAAUAAAAUAUUUUGUUUAUAUUCAAGUCAUGCGCAAGCUUUCAACAAUUUCAUUGCUGCCAUGUUUUAAUUCUAAUUACUUUGUUCAUUAUUAAAAUCAUAUAAUGCAUUAAUAAGAAAAACCAUCACAAAAUAGUGUGCAUCACUAAAACAAUUAAUGAAUAGACCAACUUUCUGUUUUCUUCUUCCCUUUUCUAUUUUCUGCUUUCUGUUUCGGUUCAUAACAGAACCAGGAGACGAAACAUCCCUCAGUCCGCUCCUGCAAGGUAAGAUUCUCCCAAGAAAUUUACUACUGUUCCCUCUUCCAAAGAAGAAGAUACUCUACUGCAAAAGAAAGAGCAAACAAUUUUGUCAACCGUCUGCACCAACAGAUAUUUGCUGUGUACAAAGAAGCACUUCAUUGAGUAGAAUGACUUGCUACAAUUUGUUGCUUUUGUAAAACCAUAUGCCGAGGAGGGGGUUUAUGGGUUUUAUGUCAAUCUUCUCAAGUCUGUCAAUAAGUCUUCGAGCAAACUCUUCCACAAAGCUUAUAUUCGAGGAAGAUGGUAUAAUUUUUGGCCCUACACAAAUUUGGGAGCUAUUGCUUCACUCAUGCUUGAUAGAUGUCAAGCUAGAUGAAUUUUAUGGUACAAUGGUCAAAACCAUCACCAAUGGAGUUCACCUUACCUUGCCCUAAGCAACUGAGCCACAAGCUUCUACUCUAGAGCCCACUUAUGCUGGCCUGUUUGCUAUUGCAACCAGAAACUGGAUUCCUAAUAGCCAAAGGAAUACAGUUACAAAGAAGAUUGUUACUCUGCUUAGGAAGAUUUGUGAUGUGAUUCAACUUGACUUGGGAGAGCUUAUUUUUCAGGAAAUCAUCAAACAUACUAAUUUUGUUUACCCCAAGUUAUGUCUUUCUUUCCAUUCACUUAAUUUUUCAGAUUCUUUAUAAUCAAAAUCCAGAAAUUGUAUUGGCUACUGAAAAAUGUGAAAGGAAGCCUAUAGAGUUGAAGUAUUCAUACAAGUGGCUUGAAGGGAAACACCAGGUUGCACUCCCUGAAGCUGUUCCUGAUGUUGUGGCUCAGCCUGUUGGAGUUGGCACAAAGGAAGACAUUUCAUCUCCAACAUCUUGAUGCUGAGAUUGCCUCCCAAGAAAAAGGUCAUUCAACAACUUCAAGCCAAUGUUCGACGAGUCAAAGCAUUGUGGAAUGAUCUCCUGGCCAAGCUGCUUCAGUUGGGGUUUGGAAAAUCUCUUGAACUAAAAGGGGGAGUGGUAUAAAGGACUUGGCACUACAGGUGACACUACUGCAAUUAGUAUCAUGUUUUUUCUUUUCUUAGUAUGAUGAUUUUUCUGUGCCAGAAUCACCAUAAACUUAGGGUUUCAGUUGUCAUGUGGGGAUGAAAUAAUUUACCCCCACAAUAUUGGGAUUCCAAUUCUCAUCAAAGAAUUUGCAACCCUCAGUUUCAGAAGCUAUCUGCUAAAUGAAAUUUGUUUUAUUUUAAUGUUUUUGGGUUGUAAUUUUGAAGACUCUAACUUGAAUUAUGUUUAUUUUAAUUGAUAUUUUGAGAACCUUUAUCCCAUCUAUGAUAUAAAUUCUAGUGCUUUGGUUAUAAAGGCUGUUCUCACUACUUAUGCAUUAAUGAUUAUUUUGCUUGAUUAUGUUUGUAUUUGAAGUAUGAUGGAUUAAGGGUGAGCUAAAAUUGAAAUUUUUUUAUUUAGAUAUUUUAAGAUUUUAAAUUAAUAAAAAUGAAAUUGCACGUUGGCUCCUUUAAAAUGAUAAAAAUUUGAUUUAACCUUAUAAAAAUUAUAAAGACAUAGGCUAUUAAAAUUGUGAAAUUGUAAUUUUGCUAUCGUAAAAAAUUACAAUUUAAUUUCGGUCCCCUAAACAAAUUUUCUGGCUUUGCCUUUGAUUUCUUGGGAGAGCAUUUGUUAUCGUGAACUUACCAAUACUAAGCAAAUUUUCUAUUUAAUAUUUAUUUUUGUAUGAUUAAUAUUUAACUAUCAUAAUUUCAAUUCUGAUUAAAUUUUAGAUAUUUAACUAUAUUUUUUAAUGUAAAAAUUUUGAACCAUUAAAUAUAUAUAUUAAUAAAGAUGGUAUUUAGAUUAAUUCGAAAUUUUACUUGCAUGAUAAAUAAAAUAAUAAAUUCAACAGUUAAAAACAUUAGUUAACUUUUAUUUGUUAAUAAUUCGUUAAUUUAUGUAAGUUUUUACAUAUUUAUCUAUUUGGAUUGUGAUUGUAUUAUUUUUUCAUUAUAUCCUAUUUUAAUAUUUUUUAUAUUAUUUACGAAAAUAACUACAUUUAAAAAAAUAAAAUAAAUUUCACACACACAUUAAAUAGAAAAAAUGAAAGAAUUUAUUAUUGAAUGACAAAUAGUACGCUGAAUGAUGAUUACAUCAAGAAAAUUAAUUUAUUGGAAAAGUCAGCAUUAGUCACAACAAAGGCCGUUUUAUGUGCAUUUGAAGCAGAACUGGUUCCAGGUUUAUAUAAGCUUUAAACUAGGUGUAAGCUGGUGGUGGCCUUGGCAUGCUUUCCACAACACCGCAAACUAGUGCACUCUCAGGCAUGUUGUAUUCGUCCCUGAGUGAUUUGUUAGGGGAAACAACACUAACAUAAAGCUGUUGCCCAAGGUAACGCCUGUCCCAUACCUCUGACCUGAUGUUCCACAUUCCACAGUUGUCGAAUGACAAUAGGAUAGCUGCCCAGGACUUGGGGAAAACCUGUAUGGUGUGUCUGCUCACGGCAUCAAGAAGAUUGUAGUUCUUCCUCUUCUCAGGGCUCCAUUGCCCAGUCUCGACACUGCAACAAAUGAUUAUAGAAAUUUAGUUAAACGGAAAGUAAUGACUAUAUACUAGAAGAAUUUGAAGACCAAAUACUUACGCCACAGCAAAGAAGGCAUAGCCACACAGGUGAUAAGACUGGAUGGCUGUUUCGCGAUUCUCGAAGAUGAUUUCCAUAAAGUUUCUGUGUGUCAAAUUGAGGACAACAGGUUCCAUGGUUACUUUAGUGAUCUCAGCUGGUGGGUCAUCAGAAAUGGUAUCAUACUUGAAAACCUUGUCAGCUACGCCGUAGUAUUCUGCAAGUUUUAGUGGAGUGGUUGGUUCGACAUAGGAGGCUCCAUUAAUAGCAUAUCGAAGCUUGCCAUCUACUUUUUGAGCAGUGUUGGCCAGCUUGAUGGUACGGGUAAUGUUAACGGAACCAUAUUUGUAGGAGCCCUGAGGGUUAGGCCUAGCAGCGCUGGCAGUCAAGUUCCAACGGAAGGUACGGAAUUGAUUGAGUGACCAAGCCCAACCAACUGGUGGUGGUGGCAACUUAGGUGAGGGUGCGCCCUUGCCAUUGGUGUAACGGAUGACACCAGUUGCUGUAACCUCGCGUUUGGUAAAACGGGUAGAGGCCACAACAAAGUAAUCCUUUGGUUCUUGGUCGGCUGUAACAAGCACAGCGAAGCACUGUCCAACAUGAACAUCAAGGGAUUCAUAGUCAUUUUGCACUGUGUGGGAACCUUCCAUCUCAACCAAUUUCAUGGUGUGGCCUUGGAACCUGACGUUCAGAGAUGUCUUGAUACCCGCAUUGCAAAUCCUAUACUUGUAGGUUUUGCCUGCUUCCAUGGUGAAGAGAGGUUCAUCGCUACCAUCACCUUUAGCAACUUUUCCAUUAAUGUGGACACCAUCACAUCUACCAAGGUUGCGACCGCUCUCAAGAAUUUUCUUGAGGGUGGUGUGUCCCUUGUUGAAAAAAUCUCCUGCUAUGAUAGUAUAGUCAUCAGCUGGAUCAGCAUAGGGGACAGGAAUGAGUAAACGACUGUUAAUACGAAGGCCACCGAAACCACCAACCGCCUUAUGCAUAGCCGUCACUGGAUAAUACAUGAAGCUGCCAAUUUGGUCCUUCACCUGGAAUUUAUAGGUGUAAUUCGUCCCGGGGGGGAUAGGACAGUUGGUUCCAAGCACACCAUCUUGCCAAGGAUUCUUCCUAUGCUGCACGCCACUCCUGCAACAAAAUUCAUUUCCAUAUAUAUAUAUAUAUAUAUAUAAUUAAGCUCAACUCUUCACUAAUAUAAUCAAGGGAAAAAAAAGUACUCUUGUUUACCAUGUCAAAAGGAAUGGCUCAUCAAGGUUGUUAAACACAUUGACUAUAACAUUGUUGUUGGUGGUAGAGUUCAUAUUUGGCCCAGGGAAUUGCCCGUUAAUAAGAAUACCUUUUACGGGAACACCCAAAGGAGAUAUAGUGCCAUAAGUGACCUUCCACUCGAAACUAAUGGUGGGAUCUCCACCUUGAACCAUAAGCAGUGAUCCUACCCAGAGAAAAAACACCACUAUUAUCGUCAAUGGAGCCAUUUUAUUGGCUUCAAAGUCUCUUAUGUAAUUUUAUGAAUUAAGGCUGUUUAUCCACUCUUAGAGGAAGAAGAUUUGUUUGAGAUGAUUUGAGUUGCAUGUUGGCUUACCCUUUUAUACAACACAACUCCUUCUAAUACAAUCGUUCUUCACCAUUCAAUUUUUCUCUUGAAAUCCUUAAAUUGCGCACAUCCAUUUGUUUAUUUUCUUUUAGUAUAUACUAUUUUUAACAUUAACCAAUUUGAUUUUACCGUGAUUCUCUUUUGUUCUAAAAUAAUAUUUGCACAUUAAUUCAUUGUGUGGACGGCUAAUAUUUUAUGACUAAUGCAUCUUCAUCAAAAUAUUUAAUCCUUACCAUAAUUAUUUAUUUAAUUAUAUGGACGAUAUAAACGUGAAGAAAACACAAAUAAGAAUUUAACAUGAAACCAAAUCGACAUUAGAGAAAAAAAACAUAUAUAAGAAAUAUUCUAAAUUUAUAAAUAUAUAUAUGAUGCUCAAUUUUUUUCCUAUAUUUUUAACAUUAAAAUUCUAGUUUUAUAUAGAUUUUGAUAUACAUUAAUUUAUAAAUGUACAUAUUACUAUUAUUUUUAUAUUCACAUCAUGCUCAAAUUCUCUUUCCUAUAUUUUUAUUUGUGAAAUUUUGGUUUUCUAUUCUUUUAUAUGUUGGGCACAUGAGAAACUUGGGUUUGUGCUCAGUGUUUUGGGUUGAAGCUUGGAUAAAAGGGCUUAAAUAUUGCAUAGAACAAGGGGUUUCACAGAGUGGGAGUUGAAAACAACAAUGCUGAGCUUCUUUCUUUACUUGAUGACCAAAAUGGAGAGUCAAGUUCUUGUAAGACACAUCCAAAUUCUUUUCAAUCACAAAUUGAAACUUACAUAAAUAUAGAGGCAGAUUGUUUGGGAAAAAUGAGCCAAAGUAGAUUUUAUUUCAUAUAAAUACCAAUGAUCAGGCCUUUCAGAGGCACACUGGUUGAGUUGAGAUAUCCUUUUAUAUGCUAUAAGCCUCGAUUGCUCGUUUUCCUUUUCUGUCUCGUACCUCCUCUCUUUAUCGUUGUGCCCAUGAACACUCUUUGUUUCCCUACUACGAUUGCACAGCUCAUUACUACCUUCUGAACGUUCCACAACCAUAUUUGACACAGUUACCCCCAUUUUCAUUUUCUUGGACUAAUGAGCAAAAUCUAACACCCUUUAUGUUACUUGAAAUUUCAUCGUCACUUUUAUCCAAAUGCCUACUAGCCCUCCUGCACCGAUGAUCAUCACAACCUGACAAAGGUCAAACCUCACUAGAGGUAAAGCCACCAUCACAGCCAAGGACAUUGGACUCACAUUAUCUAGAUUUGCAAUUAAUUCGUUGACGUCCUCUUCACUUGAUGAACGAAUCACUUCAACUUCUAACACUUUCAGAUAUUUGGAUUUGCAGAACAACACUUACCUUACUCUGUAGUCUCUGAUCCAUGUAUUUAACUAAGCUCUUUUUGCUGGUUUCUUUGAGGACACUAUUCUAAGAGUAAUUGACGUGCUAAGUGAAGAUAGUAGGAACUUUUAGCUCCUACGCUCUAAUGUUUUUUUUUUUUUUUUUGCAUUAUGGCUAGUUGAGCCUUCCUUUGUACAAAAAGAACUAGUUUAAUCUAAUAGUUGAAUCUCAAAUUUAAAUAGUUGUUAUUCACUUUUCAAGCCACCACGAACAUAUUAUGGAAAUUAGAGGGACAGAAACAAGGUAGCUGAUUCAUUGUCCAAACUACAAGUUUCAGAAGAUUUUGGAAUAAAGUGCUCACUCGACCCCUCAGAGAAAUCGAUACAUUAUUGUUAUUAGACAAAUUGGGGUCAUGCCAUCCCAAUGGUAUUUUGAUGUAGAACAGUAAUGCCUAUUUGAAUUUCCCUUGUCUUUGAACUCUAGAAUUUUCUUGUAUUUAAUUUAGUCAUUGAUUUAUGUGGAUAGGUAUUAAAAUUAAAUUUUGAUGAUUGGCAUUCUAAUUAGUAAAAAUUCUCUUUGGGAUCGAUAUUUUAUACCACUUGUAACGAUACAUAUACUUGCGUGUGAUAUUCGAUUAAGUUCAGAGCACCUUUUGUUCAAAAUAAUGGUGUUUUACGAAUAACUAUGCUUAGAACAAUUUCUAUUUAGUAGAAUUGUAUUUUUUCGAAAGAGUCAUUAUUCAGAAUAAGUUCUACCAAACGGAGCAUUACCAUAGAACAACUUUUGUUUGAAACAAGUAAGAAUAACCCUUUUCCAUGAACAACUCUCGUUCAAGAACAUCCAUUGUCUUGCAUUCUAAGAGAUGUUCUGCGGUAAAGGUUUCACAAGAUACCGCUUCACCAAAGUAGAAGAAGUGAAAAUAACCUACGACAGAGUUCUCGGGUUGUCUUCACUCUUGAGAUUUUCCGGAGAACUUGGCUUGGUAGAUUAAAUAUGGAGAUAAUUAAGUAGUUUCCUCUUAACAUUUUCCUCUAACAUUGAGUGUUUUUCCUUCAUUUCAAAAAUAUGGUGAACAUUUCUUCAAUAUUCAUCAUUAUCAUCACCAAAAAGGCCAUUCACCAUCCCGUCUUAACCAUAUAUUGCCAUUGCAAUUGAAACCUAAUUUCAUUACUCAUAAUAAAUACCUAGUAUAAAUAGGAGCCCAUCACAACUAGUUGAGUGACUUUUUGGCACUUUGAUACUCUAAUUCUCAAAGCUCUCUAAAAUUCUUUCAACUUUUGUUGUUGUUGUUGUUUAGCCUUAUCAUCAACUACAAUUCCCUUUCUCUUGCUUAUCAAACAUCACUUGUUGCUGUGAUCAAUGUUAUAGGAUCAGCUCUAGUAUUCUUCUCUGCCUUCUUUCGAUAUAUCAUGUUCACUUAUUUAUAAAGCUCCCUCUGAACCCUCUACAAUGUUUUAAUUUUAUCUAUAUUACUCUCAUAGAAUACCACAAAUGGAUAUAUGAUGUUAUUAGUAUGUUAUAAUCUCUAAAAAAAUGAAAUUAGUUAUAAAUUUCUUUUCAUAUUAUUUAUUCAAUUUGAACUUUUAUGGUUUAAUUAUAUAUGAAGUUUCACUUAAUAUCAACUGUCUAUAAUGAUUAUAUAAUAAUGGAGGUUAAUGUUACUUUAAUACAUUUCAUAUUUAUAUAUUUAAAUUAAGAAAAUAACUAAAAGAACUCUCAUCAGGGUAACCAUCGUCCUAAAAAAAAGGUUAGCCAUCAGCAUAGUGGAUGUGCAAAUCCUUGAUGGAAAAGAAGAGAAUGAUAAACUCAAAAUGAUUAGUGUUAAAAACAGUAUUUGCUAAAAGCAAGGAAAUAAAUGAAUGGAUGAGCGUAUUCUAAGGGAUUAAGAUGGAAGAAUUGAAGAGGUUGUGUGGUAUAAAAGGAGAGGUAUGCAUGCAAUUCAAAAUCAACUCAAGCAAACCAUCUUCCUCUUCCUCUAGAAGGGGAUAAUUAAUAAAUUACUGUCGGGCGAAAAAAAAGGGUAAGAGAUGGCUCGAUUAAUGUUAAUAUCGAUGCUAUUUCUCUUGGCAGGAUCAAUGCUUAUGGUCCAGGGCGGAGAUCCCACCCUUUUUUUCGAAUGGAACGUCACCUAUGGCACCAUUGCUCCCUUGGGAGUGCCAGUAAAGGGUAUUCUUAUUAACGGGCAAUUCCCGGGACCAAAUCUUAACUCUACCACCAACAACAAUAUCGUGGUCAAUGUGUUCAAUAACCUUGAUGAGCCAUUCCUUGUAACAUGG